AUUCUUUGAUCCUCCCUCCAAAGAUGGUUGAGGGUACGAAAUGAGAAUAUGUGUAUGGCUGUCAUUUGACAGAAGUAUGAUUCCUUAACUUUGUCUAUUUGGAAACUCAGAAAAUACCAGGCACAUUCCCGGAAUUUCCUGAAUGCUUAAUGUUUGCUCAGCAGUGAGGCAGGUGCCUAGGAGAUGCAGAGAAUUAAAAGGUGCAAAGUUCCUGCCUGCAAAGCACUCUCAGGCUAGAUAGAGGCAAACUAUGUAAAUUUAGGGCUAAAGCAAGAUCAGGCAAAGUUCGCUUUUAUAUAAAUGCAAUAAUAAAGUCUAAAUGCUUUUCCUUCACCUCAUUUAAUUCUUCUGCCUCAAGAUAAUCCACUGGAUUCUAUCCAGAAGGCUUACAGCUCUAAAAACAAUAACAACAGAAUUGAUGAGUGGCAUCUCACCAGCACCCAGCGGUAUUCUCGGAGUCAGAGAGUUGAGAGAAAUUCCCUCCUGUCCUUUAGUUCCUCUAUGAAUUCAAACCAUGGGGAGCAGAGCAGCCCCAAAGGAAAUCAUGUCUGGAGUAACAAAAAGACCUUGCUCCCCACCUUUCAAUUGAUCUGUACUUGAAAAAGAAGAGACUACUACAUGGAAUGCCUGGAAGAACCCCCUUCAGGAAGCUCAAUGGUCCAAGCUCCAAGUCCAGAUGAAGUUAAGGAAUUGAUGAAGUUAAAUAACGGGCCUACGGUCUGCACAGCUGGACAAAAGAUACAAUGGAUCUACCAUGGUCAUGCCCAUUAGACCCACAGUUGACAAGAAAAGUAUAAUUCAACAAAUAAGCCCUACAGACUUGUGUUCUUCAAGGAAACAUCUUCUCUCAAAAGGUUUUGUAGGUUGGGAAAGGAUAGGACACAGAUCUAGAAUAGCCCAAAAAGUUGUAAUAUUUCAAAUGGUUAAUCAAAUUUAAAAAUUCAACCUUACUAUGAACAAGACAAUAUAGUUCAAUAAUGUGUUUACUUCUCACCCACUGCGUGAGUCAAGAUUGUAAAAAGACAAUCAUCAGUGCUAGCAAGGGUAUAUUGAGAUGAUCUCAAGUGAAUAGCUAUUAAACCUUCUGGAAAGUAGUUUGGCAUGGUGUGCUUCUGGUUUCAUAUCUAAGAACUCUUUGCUUAACCCAAGGUCAUGAAGAUUUUCUACUAUACUUUUUUUCUAGAUGAUUAGUAUCAAUUUUUACAUUUAGGUCUACAAUCCAUUUUGAGUUAGUAAUUUCUGUGUAUAGUGUGAGGUACGGGUUUGAAUUGAUUUUUAUUUUAUUUUAUUUUUUGGCAUGUGGAUAUCCAAUUGUCCUAGCACUAUUUGGUGAAAAGACUACCUUUUCUCUAUUAAAUUUCUUUGGCACCUUUACAGAAAAAUCAAUUGACAAUAAAUGUAAUGGCUUAUUUCUAGACUCUCAACUCAGUACCAUUGAUCUAUCUUUACACCAGUAACACACCAUCUUAAUUACU